rnacentral:rRNA from 1 species
GGGCUUCGGCCUGGCGGCGAGUGGCGAACGGGUGAGUAAUACAUCGGAACGUGCCCAGUAGUGGGGGAUAGCUCGGCGAAAGCCGGAUUAAUACCGCAUACGACCUGAGGGUGAAAGCGGGGGAUCUUCGGACCUCGCGCUAUUGGAGCGGCCGAUGGCAGAUUAGCUAGUUGGUGGGGUAAAGGCCUACCAAGGCGACGAUCUGUAGCUGGUCUGAGAGGACGACCAGCCACACUGGGACUGAGACACGGCCCAGACUCCUACGGGAGGCAGCAGUGGGGAAUUUUGGACAAUGGGCGAAAGCCUGAUCCAGCAAUGCCGCGUGUGUGAUGAAGGCCUUCGGGUUGUAAAGCACUUUUGGCGGGAACGAAAAGGACUGCGCCAAUACCACGGUUCGAUGACGGUACCCGCAGAAUAAGCACCGGCUAACUACGUGCCAGCAGCCGCGGUAAUACGUAGGGUGCAAGCGUUAAUCGGAAUUACUGGGCGUAAAGAGUGCGCAGGCGGUUUUGCAAGACCGAUGUGAAAUCCCCGGGCUUAACCUGGGAACUGCAUUGGUGACUGCAAGGCUAGAGUGUGUCAGAGGGAGGUGAA